CUACUUCGGUGGUGAGCGGCGAACGGGUGAGUAACACGUAGGUUAUCUGCCCAUCAGACGGGGACAACGAUUGGAAACGAUCGCUAAUACCGGAUAGGACGAAAGUUUAAAGGUGCUUCGGCACCACUGAUGGAUGAGCCUGCGGCGCAUUAGCUAGUUGGUAGGGUAAAGGCCUACCAAGGCGACGAUGCGUAGCCGACCUGAGAGGGUGAACGGCCACACUGGGACUGAGACACGGUCCAGACUCCUACGGGAGGCAGCAGUGGGGAAUAUUGCACAAUGGGCGCAAGCCUGAUGCAGCCAUGCCGCGUGUGUGAAGAAGGCCUUCGGGUUGUAAAGCACUUUCAGCGGGGAGGAAGGGCCACUAGUUAAUACCUAGUGGCAUUGACGUUACUCGCAGAAGAAGCACCGGCUAACUCCGUGCCAGCAGCCGCGGUAAUACGGAGGGUGCAAGCGUUAAUCGGAAUUACUGGGCGUAAAGCGCACGCAGGCGGUUUGUUAAGUCAGAUGUGAAAUCCCCGAGCUCAACUUGGGAACUGCAUUUGAAACUGGCAAACUAGAGUCUUGUAGAGGGGGGUAGAAUUCCAGGUGUAGCGGUGAAAUGCGUAGAGAUCUGGAGGAAUACCGGUGGCGAAGGCGGCCCCCUGGACAAAGACUGACGCUCAGGUGCGAAAGCGUGGGGAGCAAACAGGAUUAGAUACCCUGGUAGUCCACGCUGUAAACGAUGUCGAUUUGGAGGUUGUGCCCUUGAGGCGUGGCUUCCGGAGCUAACGCGUUAAGUCGACCGCCUGGGGAGUACGGCCGCAAGGUUAAAACUCAAAUGAAUUGACGGGGGCCCGCACAAGCGGUGGAGCAUGUGGUUUAAUUCGAUGCAACGCGAAGAACCUUACCUGGUCUUGACAUCCACGGAAGUUUUCAGAGAUGAGAAUGUGCCUUCGGGAACCGUGAGACAGGUGCUGCAUGGCUGUCGUCAGCUCGUGUUGUGAAAUGUUGGGUUAAGUCCCGCAACGAGCGCAACCCUUAUUACUAGUUGCCAUCAUUAAGUUGGGCACUCUAGUGAGACUGCCGGUGAUAAACCGGAGGAAGGUGGGGAUGACGUCAAAUCAUUAUGCCCCUUAUGACCUGGGCUACACACGUGCUACAAUGGAUGGUACAACGAGUCGCCAACCCGCGAGGGUGCGCUAAUCUCUUAAAACCAUUCUCAGUUCGGAUUGCAGGCUGCAACUCGCCUGCAUGAAGUCGGAAUCGCUAGUAAUCGCGGAUCAGCACGCCGCGGUGAAUACGUUCCCGGGCCUUGCACACACCGCCCGUCA
rnacentral:rRNA from 1 species